rnacentral:rRNA from 1 species
CUGCCCGGUGACUUAUAGUUAAACGGCCGCGGUACCCUAACCGCGCGAAGGUAGCACAAUCACUUGUUCUUUAAAUCAGGACCAGUAUGAACGGCCCCACGAGGACUGUACUGUCUCCCCCCCCCAAUCAGUGAAACUGAUCUCCCCGUGAAGAAGCGAGGAUAUUACAAUAAGACGAGAAGACCCCAUGGAACUUAAAACUUUGUACCACUGCCCUAAUACACACCACACCAAACAGGACACAUGAAUACUAGUCUUUCGGCUGGGGCGACCACGUGGAAAAACAAAACCCCCGUGAUGAAAGGAGACACCCUAAUCCAAGAAUUACCAUUCCAAGAAUCAACAAAUUGACAUAAAUUGACCCAAACACUGAUCAACGAACCAAGUUACCCUGGGGAUAACAGCGCAAUCCAUUUCAAGAGACCCCAUCAACAAAUGGGCUUACGACCUCGAUGUUGGAUCAGGGUAUCCUGGUGGUGCAGCCGCUACCAAAGGCUCGUUUGUUCAACGAUUAAAACCCU